AGUGAACGCUGGCGGUAGGCCUAACACAUGCAAGUCGAACGGCAGCACAGUAAGAGCUUGCUCUUACGGGUGGCGAGUGGCGGACGGGUGAGGAAUACAUCGGAAUCUACUUUUUCGUGGGGGAUCACGUAGGGAAACUUACGCUAAUACCGCAUACGACCUACGGGUGAAAGCAGGGGAUCUUUGGACCUUGCGCGAUUGAAUGAGCCGAUGUCGGAUUAGCUAGUUGGCGGGGUAAAGGCCCACCAAGGCGACGAUCCGUAGCUGGUCUGAGAGGAUGAUCAGCCACACUGGAACUGAGACACGGUCCAGACGACUACGGGAGGCAGCAGUGGGGAAUAUUGGACAAUGGGCGCAAGCCUGAUCCAGCCAUACCGCGUGGGUGAAGAAGGCCUUCGGGUUGUAAAGCCCUUUUGUUGGGAAAGAAAAGCAGCAGGUUAAUACCCCGCUGUUCUGACGGUACCCAAAGAAUAAGCACCGGCUAACUUCGUG
rnacentral:rRNA from 1 species